CUCAUAUGCCUCCAAAUGUGGACCUGGCUUGCAACCCAGGCAUGUGCCCUGACUGGGAAUGUAACUAGUAAUCCUUUGGUCCGCAGGCCGUUGCUCAAAUCCACUGAGCCACAACUGCCAGGGCCAUUU